rnacentral:tRNA from 1 species
AGUCUCAUGGUGUAAUGGUUAGCACUCUGGACUUUGAAUCCAGCGAUCAGAGUUCAAAUCUCGGUGAGACCU